CGUGUAGGCGGUGCGAUAAGUCGGGCGUGAAAUCCCCGGGCUUAACCCGGGGCGGUCGCUCGAAACUGUCGUGCUCGAGGGUGGGAAAGGGAAGUGGAACUCCCGGUGUAGCGGUGAAAUGCGUAGAUAUCGGGAGGAACACCUGCGGCGAAGGCGGCUUCCUGGACCAUUACUGACGCUGAGGCGCGAAAGCUAGGGGAGCAAACAGGAUUAGAUACCCUGGUAGUCCUGGCCCUAAACGUUGAGCACUGGAUGUAGCCCUUCACCGGGCUGUGUCGAAGCUAACGCAUUAAGUGCUCCGCCUGGGGAGUACGGUCGCAAGGCUGAA
rnacentral:rRNA from 1 species